GGGGGUAUAGCUCAGUUGGUAGAGCAUCUGAUUUGCAUUCAGAAGGUCAGGAGUUCGAAUCUCCUUGCCUCCA
rnacentral:tRNA from 1 species